UUUAUGGAGAGUUUGAUCCUGGCUCAGGAUGAACGCUGGCGGCGUGCCUAAUACAUGCAAGUCGAGCGAACGGACGAGAAGCUUGCUUCUCUGAUGUUAGCGGCGGACGGGUGAGUAACACGUGGAUAACCUACCUAUAAGACUGGGAUAACUUCGGGAAACCGGAGCUAAUACCGGAUAAUAUUUUGAACCGCAUGGUUCAAAAGUGAAAGACGGUCUUGCUGUCACUUAUAGAUGGAUCCGCGCUGCAUUAGCUAGUUGGUAAGGUAACGGCUUACCAAGGCAACGAUGCAUAGCCGACCUGAGAGGGUGAUCGGCCACACUGGAACUGAGACACGGUCCAGACUCCUACGGGAGGCAGCAGUAGGGAAUCUUCCGCAAUGGGCGAAAGCCUGACGGAGCAACGCCGCGUGAGUGAUGAAGGUCUUCGGAUCGUAAAACUCUGUUAUUAGGGAAGAACAUAUGUGUAAGUAACUGUGCACAUCUUGACGGUACCUAAUCAGAAAGCCACGGCUAACUACGUGCCAGCAGCCGCGGUAAUACGUAGGUGGCAAGCGUUAUCCGGAAUUAUUGGGCGUAAAGCGCGCGUAGGCGGUUUUUUAAGUCUGAUGUGAAAGCCCACGGCUCAACCGUGGAGGGUCAUUGGAAACUGGAAAACUUGAGUGCAGAAGAGGAAAGUGGAAUUCCAUGUGUAGCGGUGAAAUGCGCAGAGAUAUGGAGGAACACCAGUGGCGAAGGCGACUUUCUGGUCUGUAACUGACGCUGAUGUGCGAAAGCGUGGGGAUCAAACAGGAUUAGAUACCCUGGUAGUCCACGCCGUAAACGAUGAGUGCUAAGUGUUAGGGGUUUCCGCCCCUUAGUGCUGCAGCUAACGCAUUAAGCACUCCGCCUGGGAGUACGACCGCAAGGUUGAAACUCAAAGGAAUUGACGGGGACCCGCACAAGCGGUGGAGCAUGUGGUUUAAUUCGAAGCAACGCGAAGAACCUUACCAAAUCUUGACAUCCUUUGACAACUCUAGAGAUAGAGCCUUCCCCUUCGGGGGACAAAGUGACAGGUGGUGCAUGGUUGUCGUCAGCUCGUGUCGUGAGAUGUUGGGUUAAGUCCCGCAACGAGCGCAACCCUUAAGCUUAGUUGCCAUCAUUAAGUUGGGCACUCUAAGUUGACUGCCGGUGACAAACCGGAGGAAGGUGGGGAUGACGUCAAAUCAUCAUGCCCCUUAUGAUUUGGGCUACACACGUGCUACAAUGGACAAUACAAAGGGCAGCGAAACCGCGAGGUCAAGCAAAUCCCAUAAAGUUGUUCUCAGUUCGGAUUGUAGUCUGCAACUCGACUACAUGAAGCUGGAAUCGCUAGUAAUCGUAGAUCAGCAUGCUACGGUGAAUACGUUCCCGGGUCUUGUACACACCGCCCGUCACACCACGAGAGUUUGUAACACCCGAAGCCGGUGGAGUAACCUUUUAGGAGCUAGCCGUCGAAGGUGGGACAAAUGAUUGGGGUGAAGUCGUAACAAGGUAGCCGUAUCGGAAGGUGCGGCUGGAUCACCUCCUUU
rnacentral:rRNA from 1 species